UGGAUCCCCGCUGUCAGACAAGACGACCACCUGGAACCUCUGAGAACUAAAACCCCGGACGCUGCAGUUACCCUCCCACUUCUCUAACCUGCCGAUCGCAAUGAACUGUUUGAUUCCCUGAACCAGCCUCUCUCCCUGGACCCGACCCGAGCCAACUAUUCCUGCCAGCAGUGUUUUUCAAUAAAUUUAUCUUUUAUUUCA